GUGAGGAAUAUUGGACAAUGGAUGGAAAUCUGAUCCAGCCAUGCCGCGUGCAGGAAGACGGCCCUAUGGGUUGUAAACUGCUUUUGUAUGGGAGCAAUAAGGGCUACGUGUAGUCCGAUGAGAGUACCAUACGAAUAAGCACCGGCUAACUCCGUGCCAGCAGCCGCGGUAAUACGGAGGGUGCAAGCGUUAUCCGGAUUUAUUGGGUUUAAAGGGUGCGUAGGCGGUUUGAUAAGUCAGCGGUGAAAUAUUUCAGCUUAACUGGAAGGGUGCCGUUGAUACUGUCGAGCUUGAAUUUAGUUGCUGUGGGUGGAAUGUGUGGUGUAGCGGUGAAAUGCAUAGAUAUCACACAGAAUAUCGAUUGCGAAGGCAGCUCACAAAGCUAAUAUUGACGCUGAUGCACGAAAGUGUGGGGAUCAAACAGGAUUAGAAACCCCAGUAGUCC
rnacentral:rRNA from 1 species